AGUGAACGCUGGCGGCAGGCCUAACACAUGCAAGUCGAACGGCAGCACAGGAGAGCUUGCUCUCUGGGUGGCGAGUGGCGGACGGGUGAGGAUAGCGUCGGAAUCUGCCUAUUUGUGGGGGAUAACCUCGGGAAACCGGGACUAAUACCGCAUACGACCUACGGGUGAAAGCGGAGGACCUUCGGGCUUCGCGCAGAUAGAUGAGCCGACGUCGGAUUAGCUAGUUGGCGGGGUAAUGGCCCACCAAGGCGACGAUCCGUAGCUGGUCUGAGAGGAGGAUCAGACACACUGGAACUGAGACACGGUCCAGACUCAUACGGGAGGCAGCAGUGGGGAAUAGUGGACAAUGGGCGCAAGCCUGAUCCAGCCAUGCCGCGUGGGUGAAGAAGGCCUUCGGGUUGUAAAGCCCUUUUGUUGGGAAAGAAAAGCAGCCGGUUAAUACCCGGUUGUCGUGACGGUACCCAAAGAAUAAGCACCGGCUAACUUCGUGCCAGCCGCCGCGGUAA
rnacentral:rRNA from 1 species